AAUGGGAUCUUAGAAGCAGCCGAAGCAGCGUGAGGGCAGCAGCCUAGGGCCAGCCACGAUUUGAACGCUCUGCCUUGCAGCUCUUCAGGACCGAGGAGCCCAAAGCCCUACCCUCACCAUUCACCAGGUUACGGUUCUUAUCCGCGUGAAUACACAUGGCUCUGUUACGGAAAAUUAAUCAGGUGCUGCUGUUCCUUCUGAUCGUGACCCUCUGUGUGAUUCUGUAUAAGAAAGUUCAUAAGGGGACUGUGCCCAAGAAUGACGCAGAUGAUGAAUCCGAGACUCCUGAAGAACUGGAAGAAGAGAUUCCUGUGGUGAUUUGUGCUGCAGCAGGGAGGAUGGGUGCCACUAUGGCUGCCAUCAAUAGCAUCUACAGCAACACUGAUGCCAACAUCUUGUUCUAUGUAGUGGGACUCCGGAAUACUCUGACUCGAAUACGAAAAUGGAUUGAACAUUCCAAACUGAGAGAAAUAAACUUUAAAAUUGUGGAAUUCAACCCGAUGGUCCUCAAAGGGAAGAUCAGACCAGACUCAUCGAGGCCUGAAUUGCUCCAGCCCGUAAGUAGGGACCACACAUGUGCUGGGGACAGUCCUUG
rnacentral:sRNA from 1 species